GUAUAUUGGACAAUGGGGGGAACCCUGAACCAGCCAUGCCGCGUGUGUGAAGAAGGCCUUUUGGUUGUAAAGCACUUUAAGCGAGGAGGAGGAGCUCUUGGUUAAUACCCAAGAUGCGUGGACGUUACUCGCAGAAUAAGCACCGGAUACCUCUGGGCCAGCCGCCGCGGUAAUACAGAGGGUGCAAGCGUUAACCGGAUUGUCUGGGAGUAAAGCGCGCGUAGGUGGCCAAUUAAGUCAAAUGUGAAAUCCCCGAGCUUAACUUGGGAAUUGCAUUCGAUACUGGUUGGCUAGAGUAGGGGAGAGGAUGGUAGAAUUCCAGGUGUAGCGGUGAAAUGCGUAGAGAUCUGGAGGAAUACCGAUGGCGAAGGCAGACAUCUGGCCGAAUACUGACACUGAGGUGCGAAAGCAUGGGGAGCAAACA
rnacentral:rRNA from 1 species